rnacentral:rRNA from 1 species
CGAGGAAAAGAAACCAACAGGGAUUGCCCCAGUAAUGGCGAAUGAAGCGGCAAGAGCCCAAAUUUGAAAUCGGGCAACCGAGUUGUAAUUUGGAGACGGGACACUAGAGAGGAGGAAGGCGAUUAAGUGCCUUGGAACAGGCUGCCGUAGAGGGUGAGAGCCCCGUGAAUCGCUGGAGACCGAUCAAUUAGUGCCCGCCGAAGAGUCGAGUUGUUUGGGAAUGCAGCUCUAAGUGGGUGGUAUAUUCCAUCUAAGGCUAAAUAUUAGCGAGAGACCGAUAGCAAACAAGUACAGUGAUGGAAAGAUGAAAAGAACUUUGGAAAGAGAGUGAAAUAGUACGUGAAAUUGUUGAAAGGGAAGGGUAUUUGAUCCGACAUGGUGUUUAGCAGCGGCCCGUUCCUCGUGGAUGGGUGCACCUGGUUUACACUGGGCCAGCAUCGGUUCUGGGAGCCAUAUACGGGGUUCGUGAAUGUGGCCCUUCGAUUCUGUCGGAGGGUGUAUAGCGCGGACAUCUUGUGGCUAGCCGGGACCGGGGACUGCGGUGACUUGUCACCAAGGAUGCUGGCAGAACGAGCAAAUACCACCCGU